UGGGGAAUAUUGCACAAUGGAGGGAACUCUGAUGCAGCAACGCCGCGUGCGGGAUGACGGCCUUCGGGUUGUAAACCGCUUUCAGCCAUGACGAAGCUUUUGUGACGGUAGUGGUAGAAGAAGCACCGGCUAACUACGUGCCAGCAGCCGCGGUGAUACGUAGGGUGCGAGCGUUGUCCGGAAUUAUUGGGCGUAAAGAGCUUGUAGGCGGUUUGUCGCGUCGAUAGUGUAAACACGCAGCUUAACUGUGUGCCUGCUGUCGAUACGGGCUGACUAGACGAGGGUAGGGGAGAAUGGAAUUCCCGGUGGAGCGGUAGAAUGCGCCGUUAUCGGGAGGAACACCAGUGGCGAAGGCGGUUCUCUGGACCUUUCCUGACGCUGAGAAGCGAAAGCGUGGGUAGCAAACAGG
rnacentral:rRNA from 1 species